rnacentral:rRNA from 1 species
CCUACGGGAGGCAGCAGUGGGGAAUAUUGGACAAUGGGCGCAACCCUGACCCAGCGACGCCGCGUGAGUGAAGAAGUCAUUCGUUUUGUAAAGCUCUUUUAGCAGGGACGAAAAUGACGGUACCUGAGGAAGAAGCCCCGGCUAACUACGUGCCAGCAGCCGCGGUAAUACGUAGGGGGCACGCGUUAUCCGGAUUUACUGGGUGUAAAGGGAGUGUAGGCGGCAGUGCAAGUCAGGAGUGAAAGGUGGGGGCUCAACCCCCAGACUGCCCUUGAAACUGUACGGCUGGAGUGCAGGAGAGGUAAGUGGAAUUCCGGGUGUAGCGGUGAAAUGCGUAGAUAUAAGGAGGAACACCAGUGGCGAAGGCGGCUUACUGGACAGUAACUGACGUUGAGGCGCGAAAGCGUGGGGAGCAAACAGGAUUAGAUACCCUAGUAGUC